AUUGAACGCUGGCGGCAUGCCUUACACAUGCAAGUCGAACGGCAGCAUGAUCUAGCUUGCUAGAUUGAUGGCGAGUGGCGAACGGGUGAGUAAUACAUCGGAACGUGCCCUGUAGUGGGGGAUAACUAGUCGAAAGAUUAGCUAAUACCGCAUACGACCUGAGGGUGAAAGUGGGGGACCGCAAGGCCUCAUGCUAUAGGAGCGGCCGAUGUCUGAUUAGCUAGUUGGUGAGGUAAAGGCUCACCAAGGCGACGAUCAGUAGCUGGUCUGAGAGGACGAUCAGCCACACUGGGACUGAGACACGGCCCAGACUCCUACGGGAGGCAGCAGUGGGGAACUUUGGACAAUGGGCGAAAGCCUGAUCCAGCAAUGCCGCGUGUGUGAAGAAGGCCUUCGGGUUGUAAAGCACUUUUGUCCGGAAAGAAAUGGCUCUGGUUAAUACCUGGGGUCGAUGACGGUACCGGAAGAAUAAGGACCGGCUAACUACGUG
rnacentral:rRNA from 1 species